GGAAUAUUGCACAAUGGGCGAAAGCCUGAUGCAGCGACGCCGCGUGAGGGAUGAAGGCCUUCGGGUUGUAAACCUCUUUCAGUAGGGAAGAAGCGAAAGUGACGGUACCUGCAGAAGAAGCGCCGGCUAACUACGUGCCAGCAGCCGCGGUAAUACGUAGGGCGCAAGCGUUGUCCGGAAUUAUUGGGCGUAAAGAGCUCGUAGGCGGUUUGUCGCGUCUGGUGUGAAAACUCAAGGCUCAACCUUGAGCUUGCAUCGGGUACGGGCAGACUAGAGUGUGGUAGGGGUGACUGGAAUUCCUGGUGUAGCGGUGGAAUGCGCAGAUAUCAGGAGGAACACCGAUGGCGAAGGCAGGUCACUGGGCCACUACUGACGCUGAGGAGCGAAAGCAUGGGGAGCGAACAGGAUUAGAUACCCGAG
rnacentral:rRNA from 1 species